GGGAAUCUACCCAGAUCUACGGAACAACAGAGGGAAACUUCUGCUAAUACCGUAUACGCCCUAUGGGGGAAAGAUUUAUCGGAUUUGGAUGAGCCCGCGUAAGAUUAGCUAGUUGGUGAGGUAAUGGCUCACCAAGGCGACGAUCUUUAGCUGGUCUGAGAGGAUGAUCAGCCACACUGGGACUGAGACACGGCCCAGACUCCUACGGGAGGCAGCAGUGGGGAAUAUUGGACAAUGGGCGCAAGCCUGAUCCAGCCAUGCCGCGUGAGUGAUGAAGGCCUUAGGGUUGUAAAGCUCUUUCAGUGGGGAAGAUAAUGACGGUACCCACAGAAGAAGCCCCGGCUAACUUCGUGCCAGCAGCCGCGGUAAUACGAAGGGGGCUAGCGUUGUUCGGAUUUACUGGGCGUAAAGCGCACGUAGGCGGUUUGUUAAGUCAGAGGUGAAAUCCUGGAGCUCAACUCCAGAACUGCCUUUGAUACUGGCAAGCUCGAGUCCGGAAGAGGUAAGUGGAACUCCUAGU
rnacentral:rRNA from 1 species